rnacentral:rRNA from 1 species
AGAGUUUGAUCCUGGCUCAGGAUGAACGCUAGCGGCAGGCUUAAUACAUGCAAGUCGUGGGACAGCACGGUGUAGCAAUACAUGGGUGGCGACCGGCAAACGGGUGCGUAACACGUACGCAACUUACCCAUUACAGGGGGAUAGCCCAGGGAAACUUGGAUUAAUACCCCAUAUUAUAUAGGGCUGGCAUCAGUUUUAUAUCAAAGCUACGGCGGUAAUGGAUGGGCGUGCGGUUGAUUAGAUAGUUGGCGGGGUAACGGCCCACCAAGUCUACGAUCAAUAGCUGAUGUGAGAGCAUGAUCAGCCACACGGGCACUGAGACACGGGCCCGACUCCUACGGGAGGCAGCAGUGAGGAAUAUUGGUCAAUGGACGAAAGUCUGAACCAGCCAUGCCGCGUGAAGGAUGAAGGUCCUCUGGAUUGUAAACUUCUUUUAUAUGGGACGAAAAUGGGCCUUUCUAGGUCAACUGACGGUACCAUAAGAAUAAGCACCGGCUAACUCCGUGCCAGCAGCCGCGGUAAUACGGAGGGUGCAAGCGUUAUCCGGAUUUAUUGGGUUUAAAGGGUCCGUAGGCGGACCUAUAAGUCAGUGGUGAAAUCUUCCGGCUCAACCGGGAAACUGCCAUUGAUACUGUAGGUCUUGAGUAUGUAUGAAGUUGGCGGAAUGUGUGGUGUAGCGGUGAAAUGCUUAGAUAUCACACAGAACACCGAUUGCGAAGGCAGCUGACUAAUACAUAACUGACGCUGAGGGACGAAAGUGUGGGGAUCAAACAGGAUUAGAUACCCUGGUAGUCCUCACCGUAAACGAUGAUCACUAGAUUUUGGUAGCGAUAUCAGAGUCCAAGCGAAAGUGUUAAGUGAUCCACCUGGGGAGUACGUCCGCAAGGAUGAAACUCAAAGGAAUUGACGGGGGCCCGCACAAGCGGUGGAGCAUGUGGUUUAAUUCGAUGAUACGCGAGGAACCUUACCUGGGCUUGAAAGUUAGUGACCGUCCCUGAAAGGGGACUUUCCGCAAGGACACGAAACUAGGUGCUGCAUGGCUGUCGUCAGCUCGUGCCGUGAGGUGUCGGACUAAGUUCCAUAACGAGCGCAACCCCUAUUUCUAGUUGCCAGCGGGUAAUGCCGGGGACUCUAGAGAAACUGCCCGUGUAAGCGGUGAGGAAGGUGGGGAUGACGUCAAGUCAUCACGGCCCUUACGUCCAGGGCGACACACGUGCUACAAUGGUAGGGACAGUGAGUUGCAAGCCAGCAAUGGUGAGCUAAUCUAUAAACCCUAUCUCAGUUCGGAUCGAGGUCUGCAACCCGACCUCGUGAAGCUGGAAUCGCUAGUAAUCGCAUAUCAGCCAUGAUGCGGUGAAUACGUUCCCGGGCCUUGUACACACCGCCCGUCAAGCCAUGGAAGUUGGGAGCGCCUAAAGUCGGUCACCGCAAGGAGCCGCCUAAGGCGAAACCAGUAACUGGGGCUAAGUCGUAACAAGGUAACC